AGGCCAGGGGGGCGGCCGAUACAUGCAAGUCGAGCGCAGGAAAUCAUCCGAACCCUUCGGGGGGACGUUGAUGGAAUGACCGGCGGACGGGUGAGUAACACGUAAAGAACCUGCCCUCAGGUCUGGGAUAACCACGAGAAAUCGGGGCUAAUACCGGAUGGGUCAUCGGAUCGCAUGGUCCGAGGAUGAAAGGCGCUUCGGUGUCGCCUGGGGAUGGCCUUGCGGUGUAUUAGCUAGUUGGUGGGGUAAUGGCCCACCAAGGGGACGAUGCAUAGCCGACCUGAGAGGGUGAUCGGCCACACUGGGACUGACACACGGCCCAGACUCCUACGGGAGGCAGCAGUAGGGAAUCUUCCGCAAUGGACGAAAGUCUGAUGGAGCAACGCCGCGUGAACGAUGAAGGCCUUCGGGUCGUAAAGUUCUGUUGUAAGGGAAGAACAAGUGCCGCAGGCAAUGGCGGCACCUUGACGGUACCUUGCGAGAAAGCCACGGCUAACUACGUGCCAGCAGCCGCGGUAAUACGUAGGUGGCAAGCGUUGUCCGGAAUUAUUGGGCGUAAAGCGCCCGCAGGCGGCCUCUUAAGUCUGAUGUGAAAGCCCCCGGCUCAACCGGGGAGGGCCAUUGGAAACUGUUAGGCUUGAGUAUAGGAGAGAAGAGUGGAAUUCCACGUGUAGCGGUGAAAUGCGUAGAGAUGUGGAGGAACACCAGUGGUGAACGCCACUCUUUGGCCUAUCACUGACGCUGAUGCGCGAAAGCGUGUCGAGCACACAGGAUUAGAUACCCUGGUAGUCCACGCUUUACACGAUGACUGCUAGAUGUCGAUGGUUUCCCCCUUCAGUGCUGAACUAACCCAUUAGCCCUCCCCUGGGGAGUAGGGUUCUAAGCUUAAAUCUAAGGGGUUGCGGGGACCCCUUACCCCUGUACCUCUGGGUUAUUUUGAACACACUUAUAACCUUCUACUCUUAAUAACCCCGCGGGUUUAAGAGAGGCUCCCUCUGCGCCGCGUGGCAGUAGUGUUGUUGUCUCAACACUAUUUCGACGGUGGUUUUUUCUCCCCAGGGGUCCUCGUCUUAAUUCUCCGUCAAUAGGAACUCCCGACCUACGGCGUAAGGGCGGACUUGGGUAAGCGAAUAACCCACCCCCUGUUGGUUGGACCCCCCCCCGGGGGGCCCAACCCCAAAACCCGGGGGGCCCACCUAACCAACGCAUUUUUUUUUUUGGAUCGGGGCCGACCCAAAAACAUAAUUUGUUCUUUUUUCGGGAGAAAAGGUGGGGUUUCCCUCCCCCCCCCCCCCCCCACCCAGGCCAAGGGCCCUGGGACGGGGGGGGGCUAAGGGGAAUUGUG
rnacentral:rRNA from 1 species